rnacentral:rRNA from 1 species
GACGAACGCUGGCGGCGUGCUUAACACAUGCAAGUCGAACGGAAAGGCCCUGCUUUUGUGGGGUGCUCGAGUGGCGAACGGGUGAGUAACACGUGAGUAACCUGCCCUUGACUUUGGGAUAACUUCAGGAAACUGGGGCUAAUACCGGAUAGGAGCUCCUGCUGCAUGGUGGGGGUUGGAAAGUUUCGGCGGUUGGGGAUGGACUCGCGGCUUAUCAGCUUGUUGGUGGGGUAGUGGCUUACCAAGGCUUUGACAGGUAGCCGGCCUGAGAGGGUGACCGGCCACAUUGGGACUGAGAUACGGCCCAGACUCCUACGGGUGGCAGCAGUGGGGAAUAUUGCACAAUGGGCGGAAGCCUGAUGCAGCAACGCCGCGUGCGGGAUGACGGCCUUCGGGUUGUAAACCGCUUUCGCCUGUGACGAAGCGUGAGUGACGGUAAUGGGUAAAGAAGCACCGGCUAACUACGUG